UCUCUCUCUCUCUAUCGCUUUUCGUAAAGUUAUUAUCCAAACCUCACAGAAACCCUAACUAAACGAGGGCGACGCGUCGAUGGCCGGGUACCGCAGCCGAAGCCGCAGCUACAGCCCACGCAGGCGGUACAGCCGCAGUCCUCCCCGCUACAGGCACUACGACGACCCGCGUGACCGUUACCGCGGCGGCGGCGGCGGGCCCCGCCGCGGGUACGACCGACCGUCGGCGCCCACCGGCCUCCUGGUCCGCAACAUUUCACUCACCGCCAGGCUAGAAGACAUCCGUGGUCCAUUCGAGCAAUUUGGCCCUAUAAAGGAUGUGUACCUUCCGAGAAAUUUCCACACAAAGGAAUUACGUGGUUUUGGGUUUGUGAAAUUCCGCCACCCUGAGGACGCUGCAUAUGCCAAGCAAGAAAUGAAUCAUCAAGUUAUUUGCGGUCGAGAGAUUACAAUAGUUUUUGCCGAGGAGAAUAGAAAAACCCCACAAGAAAUGCGCUUCAGAACAAGAUCAAGUGGUAGGCAUAUGGAUGGAAACUACAGAAGAAGGCAGUCGCUGUCAAGAUCCCCAAGGUCUCGUUACCCCUCUUAUUCACCCGAACCUUCUCCAGUUAGACGGCACUCCAGUCAUCAAAGAAUGUAGAGUCUAAAAGCCCAAAAGAUAAUCAUGAUGUUUGGCGAAUAAAGACCAAAGUGACAGUAUUAUGACCUCCAGAGUUGGAGCAUGUGAAAGCUAUACAGUUAAAGAUAAAGUGGUACUAGCACUCAAGAGUGUAGAGAUAAUCUUGGCUAAGAAACCUGAGGGAAACAGUUAUUUGUCAAGUGAACUGAUGCUGUUGAGCUAGCAGUCGCAACACCUUAGUGCAUUGCACGUUAUAUUUGGGGAUCAAAGUGGGUAACCAAUUUUGUGAUGGAGCAGGGACAGAGAUAAUUAUUCCCCUAGGGAUUCAUACUCUCCACAUACUCGGGACAAGAGGCAGCACAUAUCAGAUGGUCGAUCGCCUAGCCUAGAUGGACAUGAGCGUAGGAUAUCACCAUCCAAUAACGGACAUGGUCCACCAGUUGACAGGAGGAGCCCAACCUUAUCUCUCUCGCCUAAAGGCUGAGAUGAAUUUCAGUUCUACAAUCCGUGACUGGGUGGUGAGAGCAGAGAACAAUGCCUUCUUUCCUAUUAUGUUUUCUAGAAUAGGUCGGUAGUUUUUGUAGUGAACAGACUUGUGUUCAAAAGCCAGUUGUUGAGUGUUGACACGUUUUAUCAGUACUGUUUGUGAUAUAUUGUGGGAUCCGUUGAAGUCUAUGAUCAACUGGUACUUUGUGUGUUUUACGCUA